rnacentral:lncRNA from 1 species
CUGGUUAGGCUCUGAUGUGGUGAUCCGUUCCCUACUGUGGUCAUGAGUAUUGCAGUAGCCAGACUUGGGUUGGUGCUGCUUUCGCCACCAGUGGCCAAGGGAGGCUGUAGUAAAUUUUCUGAAUGUCAGCCUCUGCCUAACUCACAGACGCGGACCUUGAUAACCCCGGCCGAUGUCCGAGCCGGUAUGCUUUCGUUUUCUGCUUUGUACGAUUGCAUACUAACAAAACACCACCGAAUUGGGGACACCUGCUAGCAUUUAGUUGAACAUAAUGGAAUAGCCUUCUCGCCCUGGGUGACUCUACCAGAAACAUAAUAUUUGACAUGCAUUGCCCAUUCUGCCCAUGUACAUCUCUUCGCCACUUUGAGGCAGCAUAGCAGGAUUCAGGAGGGAUUAUUAUU